rnacentral:rRNA from 1 species
GACGAACGCUGGCGGCGUGCUUAACACAUGCAAGUCGAACGGAAAGGCCCUGCUUUUGUGGGGUGCUCGAGUGGCGAACGGGUGAGUAACACGUGAGUAACCUGCCCUUGACUUUGGGAUAACUUCAGGAAACUGGGGCUAAUACCGGAUAGGAGCUCCUGCUGCAUGGUGGGGGUUGGAAAGUUUCGGCGGUUGGGGAUGGACUCGCGGCUUAUCAGCUUGUUGGUGGGGUAGUGGCUUACCAAGGCUUUGACGGGUAGCCGGCCUGGGAGGGUGACCGGCCACAUGGGAACGGAGUAACGGCCCAGACUCCUACGGAGGCAGCAGUGGGGAAUAUUGCACAAUGGGCGGAAGCCUGAUGCAGCAACGCCGCGUGCGGGAUGACGGCCUUCGGGUUGUAAACCGCUUUCGCCUGUGACGAAGCGUGAGUGACGGUAAUGGGUAAAGAAGCACCGGCUAACUACGUG